ACCCGCCGAACUUAAGCAUAUCAGUAAGCGGAGGAAAAGAAACUAACUAGGAUUCCCCGAGUAGCGGCGAGCGAAACGGGAGAAGCCCAGCGCCGAAGCCCUCCGUCCCCGGCGGAAGUGCAAUGUGGCGUUACGGUGGCUCGCUCGCCGCGGCUUCCCAGGCACGAGUACCUCUGAACGGGUCGGCCCACAGCGGGUGUCAGGCCUCUACAUUCAGCCAAUUGGGUCGUCGCGGCACGCGGUCACCGCGGAGUCGGGUUGCUUGAGAGUGCAGCCCUAAGUGGCAGGUAAGCUCCUGCUAAGGCUAAAUACCUAGUGGCACACCGAUAGCAAACAAGUACCGUGAGGGAAAGUUGCAAAGAACUUUGAAAAGAGAGUUCAAGAGUACGUGAAACUGCCUGCAAGCAAACGGUCGGAACUGGGCGAGUUCCCCUCCGCCGUUCAGCGUCGCCGUCUCGACGGCGGCGUGCACUCGGCGUUGGGGAAGCGCGGCGUCCGCCUGCCUCGCCGUCUCAAGCGCCCCGGCAAGGUGACCGCCGCUUCGGCGCGCGGUGUUACAGGCCGGGUGCGACUGGCGGCGUCGCGGGUGAGGAGCGCCUGCCGCACGCUCGGCUUCGUGCCGAGCGGCCCGUCGUCGGAGGCCGUGGCGGGCCGCGGCGUCAAACUGCUCCCGCACGUUUGGUGUCGCGCGUCCCGUCGGUCGUCCGGCGCGGUGCCGCGCGUGCGCAGGGACCUGGCCGCGUGGUUCCCGGCACUCCGACCGACCCGUCUUGAAACACGGACCAAGGAGUUGAGCUCUGCUGCGAGUCACGAGGCCUCACGAACCCUCACGGCGUAGCGAAAGCGAAACGGGUGCGAUCCGGCGUCCCUUGGCGUCGGCGCAGCACCGGCCCGCGGCACGCUCGUUGCCAGCCGCCGCGGAGCGAGAGCAGCAGGGCUCAGACCCGAAAGGUGGUGAACUAUGCUUGAGCAGGGCGAAGCCAGAGGAAACUCUGGUGGAGGCUCGUAGCGAUCCUGACGUGCAAAUCGGUCGUCAAACUUGAGCAUAGGGGCGAAAGACUAAUCGAACCACCUAGUAGCUGGUUCCCGUCGAAGUUUCCCUCAGGAUAGCUGGCGCUCAUCGCUCAUGGUUGUAUCCGGUAAAGCGAAUGACUGGAAGAAUUGGGGACGAAACGACCUCAACUUACUCUCAAACUUUAAAUGGGUACGAGGCGCCGCCCUCCUUGACUGGGGCGGCGUGCUUGAACAGCGAGUGCCAAGUGGGCCGUUUUUGGUAAGCAGAACUGGCGCUGUGGGAUGAACCAAACGCUCGGCUAGAGUGCCUAAGCGGACGCUCAUGAGAUACCACAAAAGGUGUUGGUUGAUAUAGACAGCAGGACGGUGGCCAUGGAAGUCGGAAUCCGCUAAGGAGUGUGUAACAACUCACCUGCCGAAUCAACUAGCCCUGAAAAUGGAUGGCGCUUGAGCGUCCCACUCAUGCCGGGCCGUCGGGGCAACGCGUGCGUAAUGCCAGGCCCCGACGAGUAGACGGGCGUGCCGGUGGCGCUGAAGCGUAGCGGGCGACCGCGCGUGGAGCCGCCGGCAGUGCAGAUCUUGGUGGUAGUAGCAAGUAUACAAAUGAGAACUUUGUAGACCGAAGUGGAGAAGGGUUCCAUGUGAACAGCAGUUGGACAUGGGUCAGUCGGCCCUGAGAGAUCGGAGAACUCCGUUCUGAACGGGGAGAAGGCAGAGCGGCGCCGCCGCGCACACGCCGACGGGAAGAUCGCGCCUCGCACAGUGCUCCGCGGACCCGCGCGUCAAAACCUUUCAAGGAUGACCCUAGACAAAACGCGCGCGCGGGGCAAGCGGACCAAACACGGAAGACCUUACGGAAGCGCCGCGAUCGGCCCUCGGCGGCGGCACGCGCCAGCCGCGCUCGAAACCCCGAUGCGAUCGAAAGGGAAUCGGGUUAAUAUUCCCGAACCUGACGGUGGAGAUCGGCCCCUCGGGGCCCAGUGCGGUAACGCAACCGAACGCGGGGACGCCAGCGUCGAUCCCGGGAAGAGUUCUCUUUUCUUUGUUAGGAGCGGACUCCCUGGAAUUCGAUUGUCGAGAGAUAGGGACGUUGCAUCCGUAAAGCGUCGCGCCUCACGCGGCGUCCGGUGCAUCGGCGUUGGCCCUUGAAAACCCGCGGGAGGCAGUGUAAUUUUCACGUCAGGCCGUACCCGAAUCCGCAGCAGGUCUCCAAGGUGAACAGCCUCUGGUCGAUAGAACAAUGUAGGUAAGGGAAGUCGGCAAAUCCGAUCCGUAACUUCGGGACAAGGAUUGGCUCUGAGGUGCGGGAUGCUUCGGGUCGCGGCAAGAAGCGCGCGGCGCGCCGGCAGGGCUGGGCGCUCUCGGGCGCUCGGACCGACGCUUGCGCGCACGCGUGGGCGGCCGUGGCUUUCGGCGGCGCUGGCCUCGCGGCCGGCGCGGCCUUCGUUCGUCCUUAACGCACGACACAGAACUGGCGCGGACACCG
rnacentral:rRNA from 1 species